rnacentral:rRNA from 1 species
UUCUAGAGCAAUACAUGCUAAAAAUCCCGACUUCGGAAGGGAUGUAUUUAUUAGAUUAAAAACCAAUGCCCUUCGGGGCUCACUGGUGAUUCAUGAUAACUCCUCGAAUCGCAUGGCCUUGUGCCGGCGAUGGUUCAUUCAAAUUUCUUCCCUAUCAACUUUCGAUGUUUGGGUAUUGGCCAAACAUGGUUGCAACGGGUAACGGAGGGUUAGGGCUCGACCCCGGAGAAGGAGCCUGAGAAACGGCUACUACAUCCAAGGAAGGCAGCAGGCGCGCAAAUUACCCAAUCCCGACACGGGGAGGUAGUGACAAUAAAUACUGAUACAGGGCUCUUUUGGGUCUUGUAAUUGGAAUGAGUACAAUUUAAAUCCCUUAACGAGGAACAAUUGGAGGGCAAGUCUGGUGCCAGCAGCCGCGGUAAUUCCAGCUCCAAUAGCGUAUAUUAAAGUUGUUGUGGUUAAAAAGCUCGUAGUUGAACCUUGGGCCUGGCUGGCCGGUCCGCCUCACCGCGUGUACUGGUCCGGCCGGGCCUUUCCCUCUGUGGAACCCCAUGCCCUUCACUGGGUGUGGCGGGGAAACAGGACUUUUACUGUGAAAAAAUUAGAGUGCUCCAGGCAGGCCUAUGCUCGAAUACAUUAGCAUGGAAUAAUAGAAUAGGACGUGUGGUUCUAUUUUGUUGGUUUCUAGGACCGCCGUAAUGAUUAAUAGGGACAGUCGGGGGCAUCAGUAUUCAAUUGUCAGAGGUGAAAUUCUUGGAUUUAUUGAAGACUAACUACUGCGAAAGCAUUUGCCAAGGAUGUUUUCAUUAAUCAGGAACGAAAG